AGGGCAGCCCCGGUCCCGGUCCGGCCCCGACCCCAUUCCCGGUCUUUAAACUUGGCAAUAUUUGGAGGGAGUCCCUGAAAAGCACCGGGUUUUACCACACGGCUGUUAGCAGCCUUCUCUGCUUCGCUCGUCUGGCACAAGACGAGCCGCGAGGUUUUCAUUCCGUUUUGGAAACAGCCUCGCAACGUUUUUACCUGUUUUUUCCUCCCGUUUUCUCUUUGCAGGGACCUGACCCCUACCGGCUGCUCGGUGGAAGUUGGUGUCUGCACCAGGAGCAAUGAACAGCACAAUAGCCAGCCUUAAUGCACAGGAAAUGAAAUUAACGGCUUGCCGCGAUGCAGGGAGAGUGCCUCCAGUACAAACAGCUUAAUAGAAGCUAAAAUAAUAACCUCACCUUUUGAAAGUACAGGUGCAGGACUAACUCUGAAAGCCGAACACUAUGAAAGUUGGAGCACAGUGUAUAAGUGACUAAAACCAUUUACCAUCUUGCGUAGUACACAGAAUGAGAGACAUGAACAAAGCAAGGUACGACUGUAAAAUGUAUAAGUAAAUAUUAUACAGAGCUUUCUCAGCUACCACAAACCAUUUCUUCUCUAUACUCCAGUAAAGACUUCUGAGCACCAAAUUGUAACAACUCAUAUUAUCUUUCAUGAUUCACAUCUAAAAUGUAAGUUCCCUAAAGCAGAUGAAUCACAUAAUCACUUCCAAAAUCAAAAUGAAGUGAACUUGUGUUUGUCAGCAUAUAUUCAGCUUUUUCCAUGACUACAAAUUAACGCUAGUACUCAGCACGCUGGGCAAGCACACGGUCCUUAUCUCCUUUAGCAAACAUCAUUACUCUAAAACACACCAACAAGGUGAAUCCAACCAAACCGAUUUGCUGAUUUUGCAACUUGACAUCAAGGUAUGAAAAUCAGUUCUUCGUUUGUUGGCCCAAUGACCCAAAUUCAGAUUGCUGCGCAGGUAGAAUUAUAUUUCCCUGUAAUUAUUUGCUCCCAUUGCUCUCAUACAUCAGUGCUAUAAACAGCAAGGCCUUGCCUAAAUAAAAACUUUACCCUUUUAAUAAUGCUAGUGAAAUUUAAAAAUUUUACUGGCAAAUUAUUUAGCACUUAGUAGUAAUUGUACUUACACAUUAAGAAAACUUCACAUUAUUAAUUAUGCUAGUUCAUUUAUCCAAAGCUGCAUGAAAGCUAGGUCUAAAUCUCUGCUUUGAACUUGUACAUUUAAUUUGUUUUGGGUUAUAAAGACAUGAGUGCUUUUGUGUCAGCUAUUUCCAUCAUCAAACAUCUUCAUAAUUUAUUUUCUACACAGAGAACUUUAAAAACCUAAUGUACAGUCAUCCUGCCUUCUUACAACUAGAAUUUUUAAGUACUUCUUAUGUUUUCCCAGAUUUACAAAAUGCUAGGUUUGGAUUAUCCCUGUAAAACAAAGAUU